ACCCCUGCCGAGCCCGCCCCCAUAGCCCUCUGCCCCAUCCUGCCUGUCUCCCCUAACUCACCUCUCUACACUUCCCCUCCCAGGGUGGGGGCAGGGGGAGGUGGGAUGGAGGGGAGACCCCCACAGGGACCCACUGGGGCCCACAGGGGCCCAGGCCUCUGGGGGACCAGCGGUGGCAGCAGCAACACUGGACGCAAGUGGAGCCCUUCCCAUAGAUUGUCUCAGCUGUGCUGGGUGUCCUGGGCACACCCAGGGAGCCCAGCAGGCCUCACCACACACUUGUGGGGCAGGCGCAGGCGACGACGGGAGUCCCAGCCCCUGUCUUCCCCCGCCCCCCGCCCCCCCUUGCUACUGAGGUGGUCGGCCUGCCGGUCCCCCCACCGGGUCCACCCCCAGGCCACGGUUAUGCAUGUCGCCUGGCCUCAGCUGGCGCCUAGCAGCCGACUUAGAACUGGUGCGGACCAGGGGAGUCCGACAGCUUAAUUAAAACAGCAUCGCGAAGGCCCGCGGUGGGUGUUGACCGAUGUGAUUUCUGCCCAGUGCUCAGAAUGUCAAAGUGAAGAAAUUGAAUGAAGCGCGGGUAAGGGGAUCCCUGGGUGGCUCAGCGGUUUAGCACCUGCCUUUGGCCCAGGGCACGAUCCUGGAGUCCCAGGAUCAAGUUCCGCGUUGGGAUCCUGGCGUGGAGCCUGCUUCUCCCUCCUCCUGUGUCUCUGCUUCUCUCUCUCUCUGUCUAUCAUAAAUAAAUAAAUAAAUCUUAAAAAAAAAAAAGCGCGGGCAAACGACGGGAGUAAAUAUGACUCUUAAGGCAGCCAAAUGCCUCGUAAUCUAAUUAGUGAUGCACAGGAAUGGAUACACAAGAUUCCCACUGUCCCUACCUACUAUCUGGUGAAAUCACAACCAAGGGAACAGACCUGGCAGAAUCAGCAGGGAAAGAAGACCCUGUUGAGCUUGACUCUAGUUUGGCAUGGUGAAGAGACAUGAGAGGUGUAGAAUAAGUGGGAGGCCCCCAGCACCCAUCUGUCCCUGCAAGGGGACUGGAUGAUGUCUGCCAGCCUUGUAGGACUCCAUUGAAAUACCACUACUCUUACUGUUUUUUUGCUGAUCCCGUGAGGCAGUGGUGCGAGCCCCCAAGGGGCUCUCACUUCUGGCGCCAAGUGCCUGUCCAUACUGGCUGGGUGCAACCCGCUCCGGGGACAGUACCAGGUGGGGAGUUUGACUGGGGCUGUACACCCGUCAAAUGGUAACACAGGUGUCCUAAGGCGAGCUCAGGGAGGACAGAAAUCUCCUGGGGAGCAGAAGGGCAAAAGCUCACUUGAUCUUGAUUUCCAAGACAAAUACAGACCAUGAAAGCAGGGCCUGACGAUCCUUCUGACCUUUUGAGUUUUAAGAGGAGGUGUCAGAAAAGUUACCACAGGGAUAACUAGCUUGUGGCAGCCAAGCCAGUCGCUUUUUGAUCCUUUGAUGUCGGCUCUUCCUACCAUUGUGAAGCAGAAUUCACCAAGCGUUGGAUUGUUCACUCACUAAUAGGGAACAUGAGCUGGGUUUAGACAGUCAUGAGACAGGUUAGUUUUACCCUACUGAGGAUGUGUAGUUCAGGGUCCUCCCAGAGGAUGUGUUGUUGCUGUGGUAAUCCUGCUCAGUACGAGAGGAACCACAGGUUCAGACAUUUGGUGUAUGUGCUUGGCUGAGAAGCCAGUGGGGUGAAGCUACCAUCUGUGGGAUUAGGACUGUGAACGCCUCUAAGUCAGAAUCCCACCCAGGCACAAUGAUAAGGCAGCACAAUGGGGCCUCGGUUGG
rnacentral:rRNA from 1 species